GAUGAAGAACGUAGCGAAAUGCGAUAAGUAAUGUGAAUUGCAGAAUUCAGUGAAUCAUCGAAUCUUUGAACGCACAUUGCGCCCUCUGGUAUUCCGGGGGGCAUGCCUGUUCGAGCGUCAUUAUAACCACUCAAGCUCUCGCUUGGUAUUGGGGUUCGCGGUUUCGCGGCCCCUAAAAUCAGUGGCGGUGCCUGUCGGCUCUACGCGUAGUAAUACUUCUCGCGAUUGAGUUCGAUAGGUCUACUUGACAGUAACCCCCAAUUUUUACAGGUUGACCUCGGAUCAGGUAGGGAUACCCGCUGAACUUAAGCAUAUCAAUAAGCGGAGGA
rnacentral:misc_RNA from 1 species